AAGCAUCUUGCCAGCCUGAGUUCAACUGGGCUUUUUGGCCCCACAGGCUUCUUUCUUCAGGAGUUCCCAUGUGUGAUCCAGACCUGCUGAUCAGUGUUCGGUGGGGUCACAUGUUCCCCACUCACAGAAGCUUGUGACUGUGUCCUAGGAAAGGACCGUGGAGCCACCGGAGUCAAGCCAUCCCUCAUUUUACAGAUGAGUAGAAGUGAGCUGUGCAAGGUCUCAGAGUGAUGCUGGGGCAGCAGGGGGACCAGAGCCCUGACUCCCAGAGCAGCACCCCCCACCACACCAGGCCACCCCUCUUCUCAACUGAACAUGGAGCAGAGCAAGGGGCUGCAGAGAGAUCACUUUCGCUUCCCAGAAUAAGAAGGUACCAACCAAAUGAAGUUGAGGAUCUUAUGAAAGUACUGCGGGCAACAAAAAAGAGGCAAAGUAGCAGUAAACCCACAAAAAUGCCUGUGUACCUCUUGCUUGACCUUUGAUGGCAGCCGAGACAUCACAGACACCAAGAGCAUGUAGCAUCAGGCCCCUGGGAAACAGAAAGCCAGCACUAGAAGUCUCUUCAAGAGAAACAUCAGAUAGCUGGCUCCUGUUGUUUCAAGCUUUACAAACAAGCUGAAUCAGAGCUCUACGAUUUUCCAGAUAAUUCCAUGCAGAAGCCAAUGGCACACACAUUCCUGAGACUUUCAUUGCAAUCAAUAAGUUAACUGUUGCUGUCAGCCUAUGCAAUUUCUCUGAUUAACCUGUGAAGAGUGUUCUCCUUCAUGAAUGCUGUUCAGAAAUAAACAGAUACUGUCAAAGGAGACAAGGGCAGGUUCCAGAACUUGAAUUCUUGGUGAUCUUAAAUGAUGAUGUAUGAAAGAAAGAGAGAGGGAGAACAAUUUGAUUUGCUCCAACUAGGUUGACCCAGAAAGGAGAAGAGCAGAAAAAUUGCUUUGCCUAAGCAAACAUGACAUCAAGUAAGACAAGAGCAGCAUUCACAAAAUGCAAUAUGGAAGCCUUAUUUAAAAUAUAUAUAGUCUGGAUCUGAAAGACACUUAAAUGCCGGUAAUAAAAAAGUCUUUGCUCAUUCUGUUUUUCUGCUGCUAUUUUUCUAUCCUCAUUGGCAACAGCUUCUACCUCCUCCCUGAGAUACUGUCCUAAGAUUUGGAGUGGGACUCCUUGGCUCUGGUUGAAUUAUGAUUGAAUUCAAAGUUCAGAUAGGCAAAAAAGCCAUCCAACACUAAAAAUCAAGCUGACUUCCAAAGAGAUGCUGGUUUUCUAAGGCAAUAUAGACACCCCUUUUGUAAAAAAGACUUAGAAUUCUCUGAGAAUUCUAAAAAAUUUAAACACAAUCUUUACCAGUAUCUAGUCUGCAUGGAAUUAUAGCUAGAUUUGUCUGGUGUCCCCCAAAGUAUUGUGAGCUCCUGAUUAUGCUCUAACCAGCUAUCCUUGGUUCAAAUUAGUGCACAAUAAAUAUUUGUUGAACGAAUGAAGGAUUUUCCUCUUCUUUUUCAUGUAAGGUUUGUCUUAGGGUUGGAGAGAGUAAUGAGGUCGAUUUUUAUCAACUUAAAAAUCUUGCCUUGGUCAUACAUAUUUGUGAGUGACAAUAUUACAUUCACUCACAUGUUUUCACUCUAUGCGAGACACAGAGGGACACAGGUCCCCGCCUUCUUGACAGUAGGCUUGGUCAUGUGAUCCCCUUUGGCCAAUGACCUGUGAACCGUGUGCUGUGCCCCUUCUAGGUGGAGACUCCAAUAGUUGUCUUUGUCCCAUUCUCACUUCCUCCACUACUGUAACAGGUGAAGCUCCAGAUGAUGGCUGUGCUGUGACCCUGGGUCCUGGAGUGAGAGUGAUGAUCAUGUGCAGCUGAUCCACAGAAAACCCACAAAACAUAUUUGGCAUGAAUGAGCAGUAAACUUGUGUUCUUUAUGAGUCAUUUUGGGGGGUGUUUGUAGGUGCCUUGUUGCCUAGCUCGGCUUAUCGAGAUCGAUAAAGUAUUGGCAAAGCUUCCGAAGAUAUUAC